CUUGUGGUCGAAAUGAUUGCGCCGCAUUCUAGUAGACGCAAGGUCGCCGGUUCGAUUCCGGCCUCGGACAUGGGUGUUAAAUGUGUGUGUGAGUCUGUAUUUGUCCAAUUUUAAACGCUAAUUAAAUAAUAAGAAAUAAGCUGGCUGAAUGUCGUAAUAGACAAGUGGCCAUAAAUAG